GACGAACGCUGGCGGCGUGCUUAACACAUGCAAGUCGAACGAGUGGCGAACGGGUGAGUAAUACGUGGGAACCUGCCCUCCUUUUUGGGAUAAGCCUUGGAAACGGUGGCUAAUACCGCAUAAUAUGUGAUUAAACCAUAUGGGAUUAGCUCGUUGGUGGGGUAAAGGCUCACCAAGGCGACGAUCCCUAGCUGGUCUGAGAGGAUGAUCGGCCACACUGGGACUGAGACACGGCCCAGACUCCUACGGGAGGCAGCAGUGGGGAAUAUUGCACAAUGGGCGAAAGCCUGAUGCAGCCAUGCCGCGUGUAUGAAGAAGGCCUUAGGGUUGUAAAGUACUGUCAGCGGGGAGGCGUUACCCGCAGAGGAAGCACCGGCUAACUCCGUGCCAGCAGCCGCGGUAAUAC
rnacentral:rRNA from 1 species